AAAUGAACAAUAUUUUCUACAAAAGAGUCAGUCUAAUUCCUUGCUAUAUCCUUCAGAAUAGAAUAACAAUUUGCUUUAAAUUUCAGUGAUUCCUAUUUUAGCUUUUGUAUUAAUUAGGUUGACUAACUGCUGUAAACCCAAAGAAGUCAAUGACUCCAACACAAUAGAAGGUUUUUUAUUUUUGUAGUAGAAGUUUAUUUUUUUUAACUGAAUAUUUCAAGUAUUUUUAGAUGGGAGAGAGGUUGCACUCUGCUUCAAGCAGUUCUUCAGGGAAGCAGACAAGUAGAAGAUCUGCCUUCUUAAAUCCCAGAUUUCCAUGGUUGCCCUGAGAGAGAAGCACAUUUAUAAAUAAAUACAAAUCCAUAUACAAAAACUAUAACAAAUCCAUAAAGAGACAAGUGAACAAAGAAAGAUAACACGGUGUAAGAUGACAGAGGGCCAAGACAAAGCAGAGAUGCCCAGUGGGGCUAAAAGUUUCUCAGCCUCAAGCUCAAGUGACAGUGAAGGAUAAAAUACUAACCUUGAGCCACACAAAUUUGAAUCAAAAGAUGGAUGAUGGAGGUCUGAAGGCACGGACAUUCUUGCCGUGAAGUUUCAGAGCAUCACAAAUUUUUCCUAGUUUCCUUUUCAUGGAAUAUUCUUCUGUCUUGGUUCCUUUGUCGUAUAUUGAGACCUCCAAAGGACAUUUGCUCCUUUCUGCAGUAACAGGACAAGACCAGGACUCUUCAGAAUCCAGUGAGGAGGAGACAACUCCAAAAGUCUUAAGAAGGGCAGUGAGAAGCAAGCAUGGCGAGAAGGAUCCUAUGACUUCUGGAAGUAUAUCUACUUGGAGAAUACACAACAAGAAGAGACGUAAGAGCAAUUAAAAAUUCUCGAUGUAACAAAUACCCUUCUUUGCUACAAAGGCUAUGUUCCCUUUUUUUUCAUAGCCUUUAAAACAAAAAAAUUAAUUUGUUGGGAUUUUAGAUGCUUUGCAUUUUGCAUUUUCAAUUAGAUGAAUUGGGCUGGUAUAAAAUAUAAGCCUCAAAAUGUUCAAAGGCACAAGUGAAACACAAGUUUAUUUUUCACUCACAUAAAUAGGAUAAAGUAGUUCCUGAGUGGAAGGGGUGCCCACACAGUCAUUUAAGGCUCAGCUGAUGGAGGCU
rnacentral:lncRNA from 1 species